GUUUUUAUGUUGGUUAUUACUGAUACAACUAUGUAUAUGUGGAUAUGCACUUGAAGCAACUUUUAUAUAAUAAAAGGACCUAACCAAGGUACAUGGGAAAUAUUCAAGAACUACCUUUAGAUAUUAUAAUUAUUUCUUUUGCCCCAUGAUUAGAAUAACUCAUCAGUGCAGUCUUAUAGUGGCUAAUAAAUUUAAAUCGAACAUAUCUUCUGGAAGAAGCGACCACCAGCAACACUGU
rnacentral:misc_RNA from 1 species